rnacentral:rRNA from 1 species
UGAGGAAUUUUCCGCAAUGGGCGAAAGCCUGACGGAGCGACACCGCGUGAAGGAUGAAGCUUUUCGGAGUGUAAACUUCUUUUAUGUGUGAAGAUUAUGACGGUAACAUAUGAAUAAGCACCGGCUAACUACGUGCCAGCAGCCGCGGUAAUACGUAGGGUGCAAGCGUUAUUCGGAUUUACUGGGCGUAAAGAGUGUGUAGGCGGUUUUAUAAGUUGGAUGUUAAAUCUGUGGGCUCAACUCACAGGCUGUAUCCAAGACUGUAAGACUUGAGAUUGGAAGAGGCAGACGGAAUUUCUGGUGGAGCGGUUAAAUGCGUAGAUAUCAGAAGGAACACCAAUGGCGAAGGCAGUCUGCUGGGCCAUUUCUGACGCUGAGACACGAAAGCGUGGGGAGCGAUCGGG